rnacentral:rRNA from 1 species
UACAGAGGUCUCAAGCGUUGUUCGGAUUCAUUGGGCGUAAAGGGUGCGUAGGCGGCGGGGUCAGUCGGGUGUGAAAUCUUGGGGCUUAACCCCGAAACGGCACUCGAAACUGCCCGGCUGGAGGGCCGGAGAGGAGAUCGGAAUUCACGGUGUAGCAGUGAAAUGCGUAGAGAUCGUGAGGAAGGCCCGUGGCGAAGGGGGAUCUCUGGGCGGCUAACUGACGCUGAGGCGCGAAGGCCAGGGGAGCAAACGGG